ACAGCCCCGUACACAAAAAUGCACAUGCUGUGAGCUCGAUGAGUAGGGCGGGACACGUGGUAUCCUGUCUGAAUAUGGGGGGACCAUCCUCCAAGGCUAAAUACUCCUGACUGACCGAUAGUGAACCAGUACCGUGAGGGAAAGGCGAAAAGAACCCCGGCGAGGGGAGUGAAAAAGAACCUGAAACCGUGUACGUACAAGCAGUGGGAGCACGCUUCGGCGUGUGACUGCGUACCUUUUGUAUAAUGGGUCAGCGACUUAUAUUCUGUAGCAAGGUUAACCGAAUAGGGGAGCCGAAGGGAAACCGAGUCUUAACUGGGCGUUAAGUUGCAGGGUAUAGACCCGAAACCCGGUGAUCUAGCCAUGGGCAGGUUGAAGGUUGGGUAACACUAACUGGAGGACCGAACCGACUAAUGUUGAAAAAUUAGCGGAUGACUUGUGGCUGGGGGUGAAAGGCCAAUCAAACCGGGAGAUAGCUGGUUCUCCCCGAAAGCUAUUUAGGUAGCGCCUCGUGAAUUCAUCUCCGGGGGUAGAGCACUGUUUCGGCAAGGGGGUCAUCCCGACUUACCAACCCGAUGCAAACUGCGAAUACCGGAGAAUGUUAUCACGGGAGACACACGGCGGGUGCUAACGUCCGUCGUGAAGAGGGAAACAACCCAGACCGCCAGCUAAGGUCCCAAAGUCAUGGUUAAGUGGGAAACGAUGUGGGAAGGCCCAGACAGCCAGGAUGUUGGCUUAGAAGCAGCCAUCAUUUAAAGAAAGCGUAAUAGCUCACUGGUCGAGUCGGCCUGCGCGGAAGAUGUAACGGGGCUAAACCAUG
rnacentral:rRNA from 1 species